rnacentral:rRNA from 1 species
GGGUUCAGAGAUCUUUACUCGUUUAAUCUUGCUAUGCUGGCCAAACAAUGUUGGAGGCUUAUCACAAAACCUGACUCCCUGUGUGCAAAGGUAUUGAAAGCAAAAUAUUAUCCAAAUGGUAGUUUGCUCCAGGCAAGCUUAAAAAAUGGAGCUUCCUUCACGUGGCAGAGUAUCAUGAAAGGGCUGGAGAUGUUCAAAAAGGGAUACAUUUGGAGGAUUGGAACGGGAGAGGAUGUUAACAUAUGGAAUGACCCAGGGAUUCCAUCAAGUCCGGACCGGAAAAUAAUUACAUCCAGAGGGCAUACGGUGUUAACCAGUGUAAAUGAUCUUAUUGACCCACAUACUGGUUCUUGGGAUGAAGAGCUCAUAAGGACUAUUUUUAAUCCAGUUGAUGUCCGCAGGAUUCUACAAAUCCCGUUGGGCAACCAAGGAUUCGAUGAUUUUAUAGCCUGGCAUGUAGAUAGAAGAGGUAUUUUUACCGUUUGCUCGGCAUAUCAUUUACAGUGGUUGUAUACUUAUCGAGCCCAUGCAAAUACCUUAGCUCGUCCGAGCGGCUCUAACAUACCGGCGGUGUGGAGUACAUUGUGGAAGAUUAAGGUCCCACGUAAAGUAUCAAUUUUUGGAUGGCGUAUGCUUCACGGGAUUAUUCCCCUAAAAGUUAUAUUGGUGAAUCGGCACAUAGGUACAAUUGGGUCCUGUCCUAUAUACCAUCAACAUGCAGAAGAUCAACAUCUCUUUUUUCAAUGUAUGCAUGCGAAGGGUUUGUGGCAAAGUUUAGGCCUAAGUGAUAUGAUUGCCACAUCAAUUAUUGUGGAUCGUUCAGGGUCAGAUGUCCUGGAACAUAUUCUAUUACUGCCUAAUACACCACUACAGAUCAUGCCUUCUUUGGACAUUAAGCAGGUGAUUCUGGUUGGCUGUUGGUACCUUUGGUGGACUCGUCGACGGAUCACUCACAAUGAAGCGUACCCGCCACCAGAAAGAUGGCAUCUAUCUGUACUAGCUAUUGCAUCUAAUUUUCAGAGAUCCAAUACGAAGAAUAUGUCUACACUGGAGCAUAAGUGGACUCGGCCAGAACCAAAAUUUGUCAAAGUAAAUGUUGAUGCUGCUUUCUUUGCAGAUGAUGGAGCUCGUGCAACCGCGGCAAUAAUACGAGAUGAGAGGGGAACUUUUCUAGCAGGUUACUGCCGAUAUAUCCCCUUUAAUUUGCAGCGGAUGCGGUUACCACUGAAAUGA